GAUGAACGCUGGCGGCGUGCCUAAUACAUGCAAGUCGAGCGAACAGACGAGGAGCUUGCUCCUCUGACGUUAGCGGCGGACGGGUGAGUAACACGUGGAUAACCUACCUAUAAGACUGGGAUAACUUCGGGAAACCGAUGCUAAUACCGCAUAAUAUCUUUAACCACAUGGUUCAAUAUUGAAAGACGGUUUUGCUGUCACUUAUAGUUAGACCCCCGCUUCAUUACUUAGUGGGUAAGGUAACGGCUUACAAAGGAAACGAUGCUUACCCGCCCUGAGAGGGUGAUCGGACACACUGGAACUGAGACACGGUCAAGACUCCCACGGGAGGCAGCAGUAGGGAAUCCUCCGCAAUGGGAGAGAGCGUGACGGAGAAACGCCGCGUGAGUGAUGAAGGUCUUCGGAUCGUAAAACUCUGUUAUUAGGAAAGAACAAAUGUGUAAGUAACUAUGCACGUCUUGACGGUACCUAAUCAGAAAGCAACGGCUAACUACGU
rnacentral:rRNA from 1 species